GGCUGGCAGAGCGGGCCCCGCCCCCUGGGCCAUCCAAUCCGCUGUCGGCUGGGCCGCGUGACGUCAUCCGGCCCCGCCCCGCCCUGCACGUCCGGCGUCUGCGGAUCCCUGGUACCGGGUUCUUCUCCGUUUUCUGCGGCGCUGCCCGCCCUGCCCUUUAGCCCGCGAUCGCGGGGAUCGGUUGAAUUUGGGACUCGGUACUGCACAAAAAUCCUCAUCAAAACUGAGUUAAAAACAGCAACUCUUUGCCCUCAUAUUUCUGUCAGCUGCUCACCUGGGAGUGACUCUGGUCUCGCCUGCAAGCACUCAUCUGUUCAAGUCAUCUGUCAUGGGACAGCUUACCUGAGGCCAAACGUCUAAGAAGAUAGCAAAACAAGACAGAAAAACAACUCCGAAUGGCAGUUUUUGAACAAUUCACUGGAAGUUGUGGAACAGAAGGUAGUGAAUUUGGAUUAAUCAGGUUAGUGUUAUGAACCAAUCUUUUAAUUUCUAAAGUAAUAUGAAAGAAGCAAUUCUGGGUAAAUCAGAAAAAAAUAAAAUAAUAAACAAAGCUAGAAAUAGUUUAUAAAAAGAGAAAAUAAGCAAAUCA
rnacentral:lncRNA from 1 species